AAUUAUUACCUAAAUCGUUGAAUAUUUCAAUUUGAUGUAAUUUUACUUUUAACGAAUUAAAUAAUAAUUAUACCAAUGAUGAUGGGCCAAGCAAGUCGUGCAAGCAAAGAGUUAAGCUAGGUCCCACUCUCAUAAUAAGUCCAGAAAAUGGACGAUCUAGAUCUAGUGUAGUCUCUAUCCAACUCUAAUCUUCACCGUUUGUUAUUACACAAGUCAAAUAAGGAUAAAACUGUAAAUUCACAACAAAAUCGUCGAAAUAUCAUAUCAUUCACUGGUGGAGGAAACUGAAGAAAACGAUCCGAUAACAGCAUUUUCUAUUUUCUUCUGUGCCUCAAAAAAUCAUAAUUUUCUCGGAAAAUUAAAAAUCAUGUUUAAGAUUUUCUCGAGAAAGUAAAAAAAGGAAGAAGAAGAAGAAGAAACCAUGGGAAGAGCUUUCGUGUAUGUAAUUCUCGGAGGAGGUGUUGCUGCUGGUUACGCAGCUCUCGAAUUCACCCGUCGAGGUGUCUCCGAUGGCGAACUCUGUAUCAUUUCCGAAGAACCCGUAAGCUCUCGAAAUAUCUCUUUCUCUAAUGAAUCGAUUUUCAAUUUUUAUUGUGUUUGAUAACGAAAUCAUCGUUGUUGUUGUUUGGUCCUGAAUCGUUUUAUUCUGGUUUUUCACUCUGAUUUUUGAGUGACUCUGUAGUUGAUUUUACUAUUAGUAGUUUUGAUUGAAGAUUUGGUGGUUUGAUGAUUAUUAGAUUGAAACUGAUUAGGUUUGUAUUUGCUUGAGCUUCUGAUACUUAUAAUUAGAAAGUCUCAAACGAUUAAGAUAUAAUCAGGUGUUACUAAACGUAUUUUUAGUGUGAGUUUCGUUAAAGAUUAGGGUUUUGCUCAAGAUUCAUUCUAAUAUUUGCUUUGUCUAGGUUGCACCGUAUGAGAGGCCUGCCUUAAGCAAAGGUUUUCUGCUGCCAGAAGGUAAGAAAAAACCCGGUAGCUUGCGGUUUUCUACAUUUGGAGUUAGGGAAAGCUAAGAUGUAUGGAAUUUGGUUAUAUAGUUCAUUCAUUAGGCUCUGUAAAGGUUACUCAUGAUCUUAUCUGCAGCUCCUGCACGGCUUCCUUCUUUCCACACUUGUGUUGGAGCUAAUGAUGAGAAGCUUACACCGAAAUGGUACAAGGAUCAUGGUAAUUACAUUUGCACUUUCGAUUUGGAGAAACUACUGUUUUACUUGGUGGUAUGUCUACGGGAUUCUUUUCUGAUAAUACUUUUGUCAGGAAUUGAAUUGGUACUUGGAACUCGUGUUAAGUCCGUUGAUGUGAGGAGGAAGACUCUUUUAUCGAGCACAGGGGAGACUAUAAGUUACAAAUUCUUGAUCAUUGCAACAGGUGCCCGGGUAUGGCUUGCACAAUAAUAUUUAUGUUUUCGUUUAUCCAAAGUAAGAGUGUGUUCCGGUGACUAUUAGCAUAAACGAUAAAUCACUGGUUUUUAACAACGUAUUAUCCUCUUUAUGAUUUUGUAAUUAAUUGGCUGAAGACAAUGGGUUUUUGUAAUAGUUGAAUGUCUAGUAGAUGUUGUGAACAUUGUUGUAGGCAAAUCUGCUCACUCCUGAAAAUUGCCAAAGGAAUUUGUGCUAUUUUAAAACAUAGAACAUUAAACUGCUAAAGUUGUGGCCUUAUUCUUGUCACAUUUGGCUCGUGCAACUAGGCGUUGAAGCUUGAAGAAUUUGGGGUGGAAGGCUCAGAUGCUGAAAAUGUUUGUUACUUACGAGAUCUAGCUGAUGCAAAUAGGCUUGCCACUGUGAUUCAAUCAAGCUCCAACGGGAAUGCGGUUGUUAUCGGCGGUGGCUAUAUCGGUAUGGAGUGUGCUGCAUCUUUAGUGAUCAACAAAAUCAAUGUGACGAUGGUUUUCCCAGAGGCUCACUGCAGUAAGUUCUCUCGAUUAUUACUAAACUUACGUGUACGAGAGAAAGGUUGUGUAUUUAGCUUGACCUUUUUAGUUUCUUAUGACAGUGGCACGUCUCUUUACGCCCAAGAUUGCAAGUUUGUAUGAAGACUACUACAGGGCUAAAGGCGUAAAAUUUAUAAAAGGAACGGUUUUGACAUCAUUUGAGUUUGACUCGAACAAAAAGGUAAGAUCGUUUCUUUUAGCUUGAGAUUCAACUCGAAAAAUGUCUGGUACGUUGCAUCUAUGUAUACAACUAAGGAUGGCAAGAAUCAGUAGAACCACAGAUACUUCUGGUCCAGUACUCAAACUAUGAAAUCUUGAGCCUUGUUCAAUGUAUUUGUUUAUUGAUAUGAGGUUUUUUGGUUUUCGAUUUACAGGUUACUGCAGUUAAUCUCAAAGACGGGAGCCACUUACCAGCCGACUUGGUUGUGGUUGGUAUCGGGAUACGACCAAACACAAGCUUGUUUGAAGGACAGUUAACAAUAGAGAAAGGAGGGAUAAAAGUGAACAGCAGAAUGCAGUCAAGUGACAGCUCAGUGUAUGCAAUAGGCGAUGUAGCUACAUUUCCAGUGAAACUAUUUGGCGAAAUGAGGAGGCUUGAGCACGUGGACUCAGCUAGGAAAUCUGCGCGACACGCAGUUUCAGCCAUCAUGGAUCCAAUAAAGACCGGAGACUUUGAUUACUUACCAUUUUUCUACUCAAGGGUCUUCGCAUUCUCAUGGCAAUUCUAUGGAGACCCUACAGGUGAUGUUGUGCACUUUGGAGAGUAUGAAGACGGGAAAUCAUUUGGAGCGUAUUGGGUUAAAAAGGGUCACCUUGUUGGAUCUUUUCUUGAAGGAGGCACUAAAGAAGAAUAUGAAACUAUCUCAAAGGCGACACAAUUGAAACCAGCUGUGACUAUUGAUUUGGAAGAAUUGGAAAGAGAAGGACUCGGGUUUGCUCACACGGUUGUGAGUCAGCAGAAAGUUCCUGAAGUUAAGGAUAUUCCGAGCGCUGAGAUGGUGAAGCAAUCUGCAAGUGUGGUCAUGAUAAAGAAGCCUUUGUAUGUAUGGCACGCAGCUACUGGAGUCGUUGUGGCUGCAUCUGUGGCUGCGUUCGCGUUUUGGUAUGGGAGGAGACGCCGUAGAUGGUGAGGAAAAAAAAAACUCUUCAAGUGUUGGAUUCAUUGGAAAUGGAACUUGCUGUUGUUUGUAGCAUUGGUGGGAGAAAUAUAGAAGGGAGAGUCCAAACUACUCAAUGUGAUUACAUUGGUAUACGAUUAUUAUAUGCUUCUUUUAAAAUGCAUAAACGUUUCCACUACAAACUUUGAUUCAACGUCUUUGAAGCCCUUUGUUACUUGUUAGUGUUCAUAAUCUUGUGAUUAUUGGUAGAGUUAAUUCGGCAAUACGGCAAUACCCAUAAAAUUAGAAAAAUAGCAAUGAGGAGCUAGCUAACAAAUAAUUUUGCACACUUAUUUAAUUGUUAUGACAGAAAUCAUAAUUAAUAAACAAACUAAAUGUGAUUAGAACAACAAGGGCGUUUGGUCUAGUGGUAUGAUUCUCGCUUUGGGUGCGAGAGGUCCCGAGUUCGAUUCUCGGAACGCCCCUUUUUAUUUUUUUAACUCCUCAACGUCAGGCCUCACGGGUAUUUUCGUAAACAUACAAACGAUACAACCUCAUCUAUUUGUAUAUGCGCAUGAUAGCAAACGUACGCAAUAUUCUAUUCCCCAAAAUACCCCUUAUCCAUCAUUUUUCUAUCCUCUCAUCUUUCAUCUUCCUCACACACAAUCCAAUCAAAACACACAGAGAGAAGAAAAACUCAGAAGAAAAGCCAAAGAGUGAAACAAAAAUGGCGUCGACGACUCUCUCAAUCGCAACAACAAUCCGUUCCUCAUCUUAUCCUACUCUCGCUUCCAUCAAUCACUUCCCUUCCCGAACCACCACCAUCGAAUUCCCCUCUCGCUUCGGUGGUGGUUCAUCAUCCACAUUGACCCACCGUGCAACCCAUCUCCGUCCAAUCGCCGCCGUCGAAGCUCCGGAGAAAAUCGAGAAGAUCGGAUCCGAAAUCUCAUCCCUAACCCUCGAAGAAGCUCGUAUCCUCGUCGACUAUCUCCAAGACAAAUUCGGUGUCUCCCCACUCUCUUUAGCCCCCGCAGCAGCGGCGGUUGCUGCUCCAGCCGACGGUGGCGCGGCGGCUGUAGUGGAGGAGCAAACAGAGUUCGAUGUGGUUAUCAAUGAAGUUCCGAGUAGUUCUCGUAUUGCAGUAAUUAAAGCUGUUAGGGCUUUGACUAGCUUGGCGUUGAAGGAAGCUAAGGAGCUAAUCGAAGGAUUACCAAAGAAGUUUAAAGAAGGUAUCACUAAAGAUGAAGCUGAAGAAGCUAAGAAGACUCUUGAAGAAGCUGGUGCUAAAGUCUCCAUUGCUUAAGGUUUUUAUAAAAAAAAAAAAAGAAGUUGUUAUCUUUUCUGGAAUUUGAUUGGUCUUUUGUGUUGUUUAGUAUAGUUUGCGUCUGGAAUUGUUGAGAAAUUGUUGUAAUUUGAAUCACAUUUGGUUUCCCAUUAGCUGAUUUCGCCAUUGAUGUGAGCUUUUUGGUAGCUGCACAUAACAUGUUUGUUGAAAUGCCUAAAUGAGGCAAAUCACUCGUAGUUGCUUAACAUGAAACAGAGUUAAAAAUAAUAAGCACAAAUGUCACUGCUACAUUUUUUUACUUAGUAUUGUAACACUCAUGAAAUAUUUAGGAUAUAUUAUAAACGAGAUCAUGUAUGAAUACAAAAACACAGCAUAUUAACACCAAGUUUGAGGCAUUGUCCACCUAAGAAACCUUGUUCUUUGCAGUGCUUAUUGCAGUCCGGAAAUUUUGAGCAUAGACCUUCCACAAGGUACCACCCUCCUUGAGCUUUGGCCAUAGAUUUUGCGUGUACUUCACCUAUCGUUUUCCAAAGAUUGUUGUAAUAUUAGAAAAAAAGUCGUUACUCGUUUAGACAUAAAGGCAAAAGAAAAAGAAAAUUCACUCGACAAGAAUCUCUUGCAGCUGGUAACAACGCAAUAUCACUAUGUAUUUUAUUUUAUUUUUUGUGAUAACAAGUUAAUAUCACAAUGUAUUGUGAAUCACAAUGUAUUGUGAAAAUAAUAGUGUAUACAAUAUGUAUGGAGAUAUGAUCUAAUGUCUGAUAUAAAAUAAGUAUUCGGUUUGCUAGUUAGUGUUGAGUGUUAACUCAUGAAUCUUGCUACUUUGGUUAUACUUCAGUAUAUAUGAAUAAAUUGAAUUAAACAGAAAAAAAAUAUAAACGUUUUUUUGGCAUACUUGGGGCGAGAAGAACAAUCAUGCAUAAGAACACAAGGAAGGCGCAUUUGCUUGAUGAAGCCAUUUUUGGUUUUUGUAUUGUUUAUUUUUCUAAUAUUUGCUAAUGGAACACAAUAUUACUCAAAACCCUUAUUAAUAUAUAUAUAUAUAUAUCUGUAUAUAUAGAGAGAGAAAUAUGAUGAGUUUUUUACUUUGUAAAUAAAAUUGGAUUCUUUUCUUAUUUAAUCUAGGAUAUUUUAUUACAUUUAAGUUAUGGUUUUAUUUUAUAUAUAUGAAAUUUUUAAUAAUCAUGAUAUGGGAUGGGGUGGAUUUAAUUAGUGAUGAUUAUAGGAUUUAGAUUCAAUUUUUUCUAUUAGUUUAUUUUCAUUAUGAUAACUUUAGGUAUCCUACUAUAUUAUUUAGGAAGUACAUUUUAAAUGUAACCUUAACUUUUGUAAUUAAUUACAUGACAAUGCCAUUAGAAAAGUUUAAUAAAAAAAAUCCUUUAAUGACGUCAUUAAGGUUACCAAAAUCAUUUAACGACAAUAUUAAUCUCUUAAUUAUAGGGUUUAUUGGAUCUACAGACGGGUUAGCAAAAUAUACUGAAUAUUCAAAUAUCUAUCUGUUAGCAAAUUAUAAACAAAUAAGUUCGUAAAAGAAUUUCAUAUUUUAUAUACGAAAUCAACUAAAUCUUAAUCACAUAAAAAUUAGCACAAAAAAAAAGUAUUCAACCAUUAAAAAAUUAUCAAAUCUCUGUGUUAUAUAAGUUUUGAUAGUAUAUUCGAAUAAAGUGUAAUAUACCUUUUCAAUUUGUAUUCUUUAACUAAUUUAAGCUAACUAAUAUAUUUUCUAAUCUUAUACCUAUCAAAACCGACUAUCGUUUCUUAUCUCUAUAGUAUUUUUGCAAGACUUUUUUGGUAGAUUUGGGUAAAAGUGCAUUCGGGUCAUAUGGUACAUUCUCUAUUAAAUAAAUAUGGUGCACUCAUAUGUUAUUAGCUAAAAUGUUUAGAUUAUAAUUCAGAGUCAUAUCAUAAAUAAAAUUAAUAUUAAUCAAAUAAAUGGCUUUUUGGCAAGACGGAUUUGGAGGGACGGGUUUUUGAAUCAACAUUAAUAAAAAAGUAAAAUAUAAUUAAUCCACCAUUUCAGUACGAGUUAAAUCUUUAAUUUAUUAUUUUUUAAGACCACUAAUAUUAAACAUAUCAAAUCAUCCUAAUUUAGAAAAAAUUAUAUAAAACCAAAAUUGUUAUAUGGUAUGUAUAAUGUUACUAUAUAUAAAAUUAAACAAUAAAAUAUAAAACUUUAACUUAAAAACUGCGGUAACAAUUAUAAACUGUAAAUAUAAAUAGUUUAUAAAAAUAAAAAUUUGCAAGUUUUAAUAUAUAUUACUUUUAAAAAAUAAAUCGUCCCGCGGUAUACCGCGGGUUAAAAUCUAGUUUAAUCAUUAAGAUUGAAGCAUAAAUAUUAUUAUUCUUAUUAAAUGAUUUCAUAGGAUUUAAGAAUUGCUAAUAAUAAUUUUUAUAAGAUUUAAUAGGGUUGAAGUAAAAUACUAAUUAAAAUUAAAUCCUAUAAAUAUUUUAAAUAGAUUAUAAACGAUAUAUGUGCUUAACAUAAACAGAAUUAAAAGUAAUAAGAACAAAUGUCACUGCAACAUUUUGCAAAUUAUUUUGCAACAUUUUUUACUUUUUAAAAUAUUGUAACACUCAUGAAAUAUUUUAAAUUGAUUAUAAACGAGAUUAUGAAUAAAUACAAGUACACAUCAUAUUAACACCAAGUUUGAGACAUGUUCCACCUGGAAAUUUUUGUUCUUUGCAGUGCUUAUUGCAGUCCGGAAAUUUUGAGCAUAGACCUUCGACAAUGUACCAUUUGUGAGCAGCGUUAACUUCGACCAUAGAUUUCGCGUGUACUUCACCUAUUGUUUUCCAAAAAUUAUUGUAAUAUUAAAAAAAAAAUUGUUGAACAUAAAAGGCAAAAAAAAAAAAAAAAAUCACUCGACAAGAAUCUCUUUCAAUGGGUUACAACGCAAUAUCACAAUGUAUUUUUUAUUUGUAAAAGCUUAAUAUCACAAUGUAUUGUGAAAAUAAAGUGUAUACAAUAUCUUUAACUAUAUGUGUGGAGAUAUGAUACAAAAUUUGAUAUAAAAUAAACAUUUGGUUUGCUAGUUAGUGUUAACUCAUGAAUUUUGCUAUUUUGAGAUAUAAUUAAACAGAAAAAAAUAUAAACGUUUUUUUGGCAUACUUGGGGCAAGAAGAGCAACCAUGCAUAAGAACACAAGGAAGACACAUUUGCCUGAUGAUGCCAUUUUUGGUUUUGUAUUGUUUAUUUUUCUAAUAUUUGCUAAUGGAACAUAAUAUUACUCAAAACUCUUAUGAAUAUAUAUAGAGAAAUAUGAUGAGUUUUUUCUUUUGUAAAUAAAAUUGGAUUCUUUUCUACUUUAAUCUAGGAUAAUUUAUUGCAUUAAGUUAUGGCUUUAUUAUACAUAUAUGAAAGUUUUAAUAAUCAUGAUAUGGGAUGGGAUGGAUUUAUUUAGUGAUGAUUAUAGGAUUUAGAUUCAAUUUCUUCUAUUGGUUUACUUUCCUUAUGAUAACUUUUUUGGGUAUUUAAUCACAAGAUUGAAGCAGAAAUAUUAUUUUUAUUAAAUUAUUUAAUAGGAUUUAAGCAUAGCUAAUAAUAAUUGUUAUAAGAUUUAAUAGGAUUGAAGAAAAAAAUACUAAUUCAAAUUAAAUCUUAUAAAACCCAAAAUCCGAAAACCGUCUCUUCAUCAACAAACUCAAAAUCUAUGAAAAUUAUCUAUUCAAAUCAUAAAUAUUCAAAUAUACGAAGUCACGAACCCUAAAUAAAGAUAGGGUUAAUUUCCUCAUCACAUCUAGAUGCCAGCACUAAAAACCCCUUUAAAGGCCUUAUUGAAACGAUGUUACUACAAAUGGAGUUAAAAGCUUAGAUAUAGAACUGAUAUUAUUAAGAUAAGACUGAAACAGAGAAACAAAGAGACAAGCAACUCUCGAGAGACACAAGUUGUCCCUAUAACUAUAAGGAAUCUAAACCAUUGUGAAACGGCUGUCCAAAGAAAAUAAUUCUCAUAUCUAACGUCCUUGCCUUCUUUAACACAAACCCUAAUAUAUAGAAAUGGAAACAAAUCAAAUGACUUUAGAAAGUAGAAAUUAUCAAAAAGUAAAAACCUAUCAUCCACAGUUUCAUAAAGGCAUAAAGUUAGGUUUUUACUUUUGCAUCUUUCAAUAAGAAAAAGUUAGGGUUUAUCUUGUUUUUCUUCCUCAUCUUCUUCUCUCGUGCAGCCCAAGGAACGCACACAGAGACACACAAACAAAAAAACAAACAAAGAAGAAGUAAAAUGGCAGCUACGACUCUUUCCAUCGCAACCACAAUCCGUUCCUCAUCUUUUUCUUCCGGUCUUGCUUCCGCACAUCACUUCCCUUCUCGACCCCUCUCGAUAGAAUUCCCCUUUAGCUUUGGUGUUUCUUCUUCUUCUACGCUCAGCCACCGUGCAAUCUACCUCCAUCCUAUAUCCGCUGUCAAAACUCCUAAGAAAAUUAAGAAGAUUGGAUCCGAGAUCUCGUCUCUAACCCUCGAAGAAUCCCGCAUCCUCGUCGACUAUGUCCAGGACAAGUUCGGUGUUUCAAUACUCUUUUCAGCACCUGCUGCAGCGGCUUUACCUCCUCCCCUUGACAAUGGUGGUGCGACGGCUUCUGUGGAGAGGCAGACCACAUUCGAUGUGGUUAUCAAUGACGUUCCACGUGGUAAUCGUAUUGCCGUGAUCACAGCCAUUAGGGCUAUGACUAGCUUGUCGUUGAGUGAAUCGAAAGAGCUAAUAGAAGGGUUUCCGAAGAAGUUUAAAGAAGGCGUGACCAAAGAUGAAGCAGAAGAAGACAAGACACAGCUCGAAGAAGCUGGUGCCAAGGUUUCCAUUGUUUAAGUUUUAACAAUCGGAGUUUUUAAAAUAUGAUGUGUUUUCUUUUCUUUUCUAGACUUUCAUAGAUCCAUUUAUUUGUUUCAAGAGACACAUAUAAGGUGCUUUUUUCAUUUCUAGUGUUUGUCUUAUUAUAAAGUUUGUUGUAAUUCUCACCACAAACUCUCUGUUUUUCUCGCAACCUCUGUUUUUGUUCUUGUUAAAACAGAAAAUACAAGAACACGUUUAAACACUUUAAUGUCUUCAUUGAUAAUAAACUUGAUAAUCUUACUCAACACAAAGACACACAUACAUAUAGUGGUUUAGCUCCACUUGCUACACUACACAUACUUAGACUCUAGACCGCAUCAUUGUCCUAAGACUUACAUGACCUACUUAGCUAUGUUGGAACUCCCAACUCCUUAAUUCACUCUUACACAACAUCUUUAGACUCUAUCUUAGACUAACAACCCAACACUCAUUAACUAAACAUAUUUGAGCCUAAUUCAUCUGCAGCCCAUUACAACAAAACACAAAGCCCAACAUCUCUUCUGUUGACUUUGUUCCUUCCUCUUCAUACGUCGUUGACCUUCUUGUCACGACAUUUUUUUCUUUUUUAAAAAACUAUAUAUUAUGAAAUCCGAGUAUACAUGAUUUGAAUAAAAGCGCGGGUAGGAAAACUGAGAAAACUAUUGGGUCAAAAUUGCAUUAUCAUGAAAUCAUAAAGAAAGGGCGUUUGGUCUAGUGGUAUGAUUCUCGCUUUGGGUGCGAGAGGUCCCGAGUUCGAUUCUCGGAACGCCCCUAUUUAGUUUUUUUCAACUUUUUAGAUCGUAUAUACACGCGCAUGAUAGCAAAGUCUGCGCAUUACUUUUAAUGACAAAAAUACCCCUUAUCUUUUGUUUUUUUAUCCUCCUCAUCUUCUACAAACACACUCACAGAGACACACAAAACAAAUCCCAAAGCUUCAGAGGAAGAAGAAGAAGAGAGUGAGAAACAAUGGCGUCGACGACUCUCUCAAUCGCAACAACAAUCCGUUCCUCUUCUCCUCUCACUUCCGCUUCCACUCAUCACUUCCUUUCCAAACCCACCGCAAUCGAAUUCCCAUUUCGUCUCAGCUCUUCUUCUAGCCACCGUGCAAUCAACCUCCGUCCUAUCUCCGCCGUCGAAGCUCCGGAGAAAAUCGAGAAAAUCGGAUCCGAAAUCUCCUCCUUAACCC
rnacentral:lncRNA from 1 species